CCUACGGGAGGCUGCAGCGGGGAAUAUUGCACAAUGGGCGCAAGCCUGAUGCAGCCAUGCCGCGUGUGUGAAGAAGGCCUUCGGGUUGUAAAGCACUUUCAGCGGGGAGGAAGGCGUUAAGGUUAAUAACCUUGGCGAUUGACGUUACCCGCAGAAGAAGCACCGGCUAACUCCGUGCCAGCAGCCGCGGUAAUACGGAGGGUGCAAGCGUUAAUCGGAAUUACUGGGCGUAAAGCGGACGCAGGCGGUCUGUCAAGUCGGAUGUGAAAUCCCCGGGCUCAACCUGGGAACUGCAUUCGAAACUGGCAGGCUAGAGUCUUGUAGAGGGGGGUAGAAUUCCAGGUGUAGCGGUGAAAUGCGUAGAGAUCUGGAGGAAUACCGGUGGCGAAGGCGGCCCCCUGGACAAAGACUGACGCUCAGGUGCGAAAGCGUGGGGAGCAAACAGGAUUAGAUACCCGAGUAGUC
rnacentral:rRNA from 1 species